GACGAACGCUGGCGGCGUGCCUAAUACAUGCAAGUAGAACGCACAGUUUAUACCGUAGCUUGCUACACCAUAGACUGUGAGUUGCGAACGGGUGAGUAACGCGUAGGUAACCUGCCUGGUAGCGGGGGAUAACUAUUGGAAACGAUAGCUAAUACCGCAUAAUAUUGAUUAUUGCAUGAUAAUUGAUUGAAAGAUGCUAUUGCAUCACUACCAGAUGGACCUGCGUUGUAUUAGCUAGUAGGUGAGGUAACGGCUCACCUAGGCGACGAUACAUAGCCGACCUGAGAGGGUGAUCGGCCACACUGGGACUGAGACACGGCCCAGACUCCUACGGGAGGCAGCAGUAGGGAAUCUUCGGCAAUGGACGAAAGUCUGACCGAGCAACGCCGCGUGAGGGAAGAAGGGUUUCGGAUCGUAAAGCUCUGUUGUAAGAGAAGAACGGGUGUGAGAGUGGAAAGUUCACACUGUGACGGUAUCUUACCAGAAAGGGACGGCUAACUACGUG
rnacentral:rRNA from 1 species